UGAACGCUGGCGGUAGGCCUACCACAUGCACGUCGACCGUCAGCACAGUAAGAGCUUGCUCUUACGGGUGGCGAGUGGCGGACGGGUGAGGAAUACAUCGGAAUCUACUUUUUCGUGGGGGAUAACGUAGGGAAACUUACGCUAAUACCGCAUACGACCUACGGGUGAAAGCAGGGGAUCUUCGGACCUUGCGCGAUUGAAUGAGCCGAUGUCGGAUUAGCUAGUUGGCGGGGUAAAGGCCCACCAAGGCGACGACCCGUAGCUGGUCUGAGAGGAUGAUCAGCCACACUGGAACUGAGACACGGUCCAGACUCCUACGGGAGGCAGCAGUGGGGAAUAUUGGACAAUGGGCGCAAGCCUGAUCCAGCCAUACCGCGUGGGUGAAGAAGGCCUUCGGGUUGUAAAGCCCUUUUGUUGGGAAAGAAAAGCAGCAGGUUAAUACCCCGCUGUUCUGACGGUACCCAAAGAAUAAGCACCGGCUAACUUCGUG
rnacentral:rRNA from 1 species